rnacentral:ncRNA from 1 species
UUACAUUCCAUGCGUUUAAGAUAAGCUGGCAAUAAAAAAGCGGAUUUUUUUAUCCACAACUGUGGGCUUUUUUUGAGCUGCUUAUUUUUACGUAUGUAGACAUAGAGCGCGAUUUGGAUAGCUUUUUUUUGCUAUGCCUUGUAUCGCCGUGUUCUCUCGUGAUAAAUGCAGAUCUAAGCCCGCAAUGUGGACUUGGAUCUGCAUUUUUUAU